rnacentral:rRNA from 1 species
ACGGGUGAGUAAUGUCUGGGGAUCUGCCCGAUAGAGGGGGAUAACCACUGGAAACGGUGGCUAAUACCGCAUAACGUCGCAAGACCAAAGAGGGGGACCUUCGGGCCUCUCACUAUCGGAUGAACCCAGAUGGGAUUAGCUAGUAGGCGGGGUAACGGCCCACCUAGGCGACGAUCCCUAGCUGGUCUGAGAGGAUGACCAGCCACACUGGAACUGAGGCACGGUCCAGACUCCUACGGGAGGCAGCAGUGGGGAAUAUUGCACAAUGGGCGCAAGCCUGAUGCAGCCAUGCCGCGUGUAUGAAGAAGGCCUUCGGGUUGUAAAGUACUUUCAGCGGGGAGGAAGGCGAUGUGGUUAAUAACCGCAUUGAUUGACGUUACCCGCAGAAGAAGCACCGGCUAACUCCGUGCCAGCAGCCGCGGUAAUACGGAGGGUGCAAGCGUUAAUCGGAAUUACUGGGCGUAAAGCGCACGCAGGCGGUCUGUUAAGUCAGAUGUGAAAUCCCCGGGCUUAACCUGGGAACUGCAUUUGAAACUGGCAGGCUUGAGUCUCGUAGAGGGGGGUAGAAUUCCAGGUGUA